ensembl:snoRNA
GCGUGGGUUUGGAUUUAUGGCAGGUCCAUCCCCCUGGGCCUCUCAUAGUGUCCCAUGCUAGAGCAAACUGGCCCCAAACCAUUGCCUAGUCUCUGCCUGUGGGCUGCUGGCACUGAAGAGAGUUGCACAGGG